rnacentral:rRNA from 1 species
GAUGAACGCUAGCUACAGGCUUAACACAUGCAAGUCGAGGGGCAGCAGGGAUUUAGCUUGCUAAAUUCGCUGGCGACCGGCGCAUGGGUGCGUAACGCGUAUCCAACUUUCCCGUUACUCUGGGAUAGCCUUCCGAAAGGGAGAUUAAUACGAGAUGGUGUUUUAAUUCGCAUGUUAUUAAAACUAAAGAUUUAUCGGUAACGGAUAGGGAUGCGUGACAUUAGAUAGUUGGCGGGGUAACGGCCCACCAAGUCCACGAUGUCUAGGGGUUCUGAGAGGAAGGUCCCCCACACUGGAACUGAGACACGGUCCAGACUCCUACGGGAGGCAGCAGUGAGGAAUAUUGGUCAAUGGCCGAGAGGCUGAACCAGCCAAGUAGCGUGAAGGAUGAAGGUUCUAUGGAUUGUAAACUUCUUUAUAUGGGAAUAACAUCACCUACGUGUAGGUGCCUGCAUGUACCGUAUGAAUAAGCAUCGGCUAACUCCGUGCCAGCAGCCG